rnacentral:tRNA from 1 species
GCCACCGUAGCUCAGAUGGUAGAGCAGCUGACUUGUAAUCAGCAGGUCGGGAGUUCAAAUCUCCCCGGUGGCU